UCUGCACAUCACUCGUGUUGACAUUUGAAAGGGGAUUUAAACUGGCGAUUUCACAAUGAAAACUGAGAAAACAAGCGAACAUUUUCCGUUUUGUGGACACAGGUCUUAUGUUGAAUAUGAUGAAUCUAUAACUUCGAUGUGCAACACCACCCCAUCACCACUCCAUACCCAAAACCCAUCUCAUCAUAUACGAGAGGCAGAUGCUACAGACCAUUGUGAAGGUGUUAGAAUCAUCAUUGAAGGCAUCCAAACACUUUAAUUUGGACAAUGUGGCAAUAGCGCUGGCACCUGCAGAAUUUCGUAGGAUCACAGCAUUGGAUCAGAAGAAAAUGUGAAUGCAUCCUGAAAGCCCUUGCGGUCUACAUGG